CAGCCGCCACGGGAAUACGAAGGGGGCUAGCGUUGCUCGGAAUUACUGGGCGUAAAGGGAGCGUAGGCGGACAUUUAAGUCAGGGGUGAAAUCCCAGAGCUCAACUCUGGAACUGCCUUUGAUACUGGGUGUCUUGAGUGUGAUAGAGGUAUGUGGAACUCCGAGUGUAGAGGUGAAAUUCGUAGAUAUUCGGAAGAACACCAGUGGCGAAGGCGACAUACUGGAUCAUUACUGACGCUGAGGCUCGAAAGCGUGGGGAGCAAACAGGAUUAGAGACCCGCGUAGUCCCUGUCUCUUAUAC
rnacentral:rRNA from 1 species